AUUAGCUAGUGGGCAAUCGCCCCGUUAGAAGUAUCUGAUCAUGAUAUGUUAGGAGUAUGGUGAUUAGGCACUUCUAAUGGGGAGGAAAGUCCGAACAGCAUAGAGCAACGGCGGUUGCUAACGGCAACCGGGAGUGAUCCUAGGGAAAGUGCCACAGAAACUAUACUGCUCCGACGAUUCGUCGGAGUGAAGGUGAAAAGAGUGCGCCCUCCUUCGUGAGGGAUAAACCCGCCAUUCCGACGAAUCGUCGGAAGAAGGGUGAAAGUAAGAGCGCACAAUCCCGAUAAGUGAUUAUCGAGAGCAGGUAAACCCCGCCGGCUGCAAGACUAUAUGGACCCGCAUGUCACUUUUGACAACAAGCUGCUCGUUUACAAAGGGGUAAGUCGCAUGAUCCCGACGUAAAAGUCGGGACGUCUCCAUCCGCUGUCCAGCGGAUUGGGGGAAGAUAGAUGAUUGCCAAUCCCGACGUUUCAGUCGGGAAAACAAAAUUCGGCUUAUAGCUAGCUAAUUAGA
rnacentral:RNase_P_RNA from 1 species